AUGACUCAGUAUUCUUGGUGAAGAAAAAGUUGUUUGUGAAAUAGGAUCAGUAGCAUUCUCCAGUUAAUGGAGUUGAAAAUGAUGGAUUUCCCUCUGCGGAGAUGUCUUUUGGUUUCUGUUCUUCACCUUCUGUUUUAUCAUCCAAGUCUUCGAUCUUUUCGCCUUCUCUGUCCUCUUGCUUUCACCAGAAGGCUUCUCAAUCAUUUUCUCAGACCCCUCUGUUUCAGUAGUACUCUCCUUUAAAGAAGUCAAAGACAACAGAUUUCCUUCUGCGGAUACGUCUUUUGCCUUCUCUUCUUCAUCUUCUGGUUUAAUUUCUGAGUCUGAUAUCUUUUCGCCACCUUCUCUGUCAUCUCUGCUUUCUCCAGAAGGCUUCACGGUCAUCUUCUCUUUUUCAUCCUCCACUUCUUAAUGUCUCUGUUUUCAGAUAUUUUCUUGAUGAUUUCUUGAAUAUGGUGACUAACUCUGAAUGCUGAGGCGAGAGAGAGAGGAAUUCGAUCUUUGAGGUGGGGAAUAUAUAGUUACUG
rnacentral:lncRNA from 1 species